UACAGAGGUCCCAAGCGUUUGUUCGGAUUCAUUGGGCGUAAAGGGUGCGUAGGUGGCGUCGUAAGUCGGGUGUGAAAUUUCGGAGCUCAACUCCGAAACUGCAUUCGAUACUGCGGUGCUUGAGGACUGGAGAGGAGACUGGAAUUUACGGUGUAGCAGUGAAAUGCGUAGAGAUCGUAAGGAAGACCAGUGGCGAAGGCGGGUCUCUGGACAGUUCCUGACACUGAGGCACGAAGGCCAGGGGAGCAAACGGG
rnacentral:rRNA from 1 species